rnacentral:rRNA from 1 species
UGCAAGUCGAACGAUGAACCACUUCGGUGGGGAUUAGUGGCGAACGGGUGAGUAACACGUGGGCAAUCUGCCCUGCACUCUGGGACAAGCCCUGGAAACGGGGUCUAAUACCGGAUACUGAUCCUCGCAGGCAUCUGCGAGGUUCGAAAGCUCCGGCGGUGCAGGAUGAGCCCGCGGCCUAUCAGCUAGUUGGUGAGGUAACGGCUCACCAAGGCGACGACGGGUAGCCGGCCUGAGAGGGCGACCGGCCACACUGGGACUGAGACACGGCCCAGACUCCUACGGGAGGCAGCAGUGGGGAAUAUUGCACAAUGGGCGAAAGCCUGAUGCAGCGACGCCGCGUGAGGGAUGACGGCCUUCGGGUUGUAAACCUCUUUCAGCAGGGAAGAAGCGAAAGUGACGGUACCUGCAGAAGAAGCGCCGGCUAACUACGUGCCAGCAGCCGCGGUAAUACGUAGGGCGCAAGCGUUGUCCGGAAUUAUUGGGCGUAAAGAGCUCGUAGGCGGCUUGUCACGUCGGUUGUGAAAGCCCGGGGCUUAACCCCGGGUCUGCAGUCGAUACGGGCAGGCUAGAGUUCGGUAGGGGAGAUCGGAAUUCCUGGUGUAGCGGUGAAAUGCGCAGAUAUCAGGGAGGAACACCGGUGGCGAAAGGCGGAUCUCUGGGCCGAUACUGACGCUGAGGAGCGAAAGCGUGGGGAGCGAACAGGAUUAGAUACCCUGGUAGUCCACGCCGUAAACGG